UUCCUGGUGGCCUAGUGGUAAAGGAUCCAGCAAUGUCACUGCUGUGGCUCAGGUUUGAUCCCUGGCCUGGGAA
rfam:Sus scrofa isolate TJ Tabasco breed Duroc chromosome 18, whole genome shotgun sequence.